rnacentral:rRNA from 1 species
GCGGCAGCCGUCUUUAGUCUGAUGUGAAGCCCACGACUCAUCGUGGAGGGUCAUGAAACUGGGAGACUGAGUACAGAGAGAAAGCAGAAUCACGUGUAGCGUGAUAUGCGUAGAGAUGUGAAGGAACACCAGUGGCGAAGCGGCUUCUGAUCUGUAACUGACGCUGAGGCGCGAAAGCGUGGAGAGCAAACAGGAAUUAGAUACCCUGGAUAGUCACGCCGUAAACGAUGAGUGCUAAGUGUUAGGGGAGUUUCCGCCCCUUAGUGCUGCAGCUAACGCAUUAAGCACUCCGCCUGGGGAGUACGGCCGCAAGGCUGAAACUCAAAGAAAUUGACGGGGACCCGCACAAGCGGUGGAGCAUGUGGUUUAAUUCGAAGCAACGCGAAGAACCUUACCAGGUCUUGACAUCCCACUGCCCGGUGUAGAGAUACACCUUUCCCUUCGGGGACAGUGGUGACAGGUGGUGCAUGGUUGUCGUCAGCUCGUGUCGUGAGAUGUUGGGUUAAGUCCCGCAACGAGCGCAACCCUUGAUCUUAGUU